CUCUUAUCGAGAGUGGUGGAGGGACUGGCCCGAUGAAACCCGGCAACCGCGGAAUUUAUUCCGAAGUGGUGCUAAUUCCAGCAGACGAUUGUCUGCAAGAUGAGAG
rnacentral:ncRNA from 19 species